UCAACACCAGUUCCCGUACGAUCACCGAAGUUAAGCAACGUGGAGCGUGGUCAGUAGGUAUAUGCUUGACAGCUUGGGAAUACCAGGUGCUGUAAG